GACGAACGCUGGCGGCGUGCUUAACACAUGCAAGUCGAACGGCAACGCCCUGCUUUUGUGGGGUGCUCGAGUGGCGAACGGGUGCGUAACACGUGAGUAACCUGCCCUUGACUUUGGUAUAACUUCAGGAAACUGGGGCUACUACCGGAUAGGAGCUCCUGCUGCAUGGUGGGGGUUGGAACUUGUCGGCGGUUGGGGUUGGACGCGCGGCUUAUCAGCUUGUUGGUGGGGGAGUGGCUUACCAAGGCUUUGACGGGUAGCCGGCCUGGGAGGGUGACCGGCCACAGUGGGACUGAGAUAGGACCCAGAGUGCUAAGGGGGGCAGGAGUGGGGAAUAUUGCGAACUGGGCGGAAGCGUGAUGCAGCAACGCCGCGUGGGGGAGGACGGCCGUCGGGUAGGAAACCGCUUUCGCUUGUGACGCGGUGUGCGUGACGGUAAUGGGUAAAGAAGAACCGGCUAACUACGU
rnacentral:rRNA from 1 species